UGAAGAAAAAGGAAAAAAAAAAAAAACAAAAAAAAAAAAAAAAAAAAAAAAAAAAAAAAAAAAAAAAAAAAAAAAAAAAAAAAAAAAAAAAAAAAAAAAAAAAAAAAAAAAAAAAAAAAAAAAAAAAAAAAAAAAAAAAAAAAAAAAAAAAAAAAAAAAAAAAAAAAUGAACAAAAAAGAGAAAAAAGAGAAAAGAAAAAAAUGAACAAAAAAGAGAAAAAAGAGAAAAGCUAAAAAAAGAAAAAAGAUAAAGAAAAAAGAAAAAAGAGAAAAUAGAAAUAAAAAAGAGGACAGAAAAAUAUGAAAAAAAAGAAAAAAGAAA
rnacentral:lncRNA from 1 species